rnacentral:lncRNA from 1 species
GUUUACAUGAAAAAGAAAGAGAGAUAAAGAUUAGAAACAGAACUCGAGUAAAGUAAUAUGGACAACAAAAUACAACUUGCGAUCGAAUGAGUUGGAAAACACAUAAGGAAACUAAGUACUACUAGAUGAAGUUCUAAUGGAACGAAAUAAUGCAAUAUGGAUCACGAAUAUUACAGAGGAUAACCCCACAUCAAAAGUGCAGAAGAUUCAAGUACUCAAUACAAUCUCAAACUAGAACAAUUCAAAGCCAAACACAUUCUGUUAGUGAGUAAUUGAAACAUCAAUACAAAUAAAAAUGAUUAAGUUGAUGGUCUACCAUAUUAUCAUGCAAUAUGAUUUAAUUAGGUUACCCUUAAGUAGAAAAAAAUCAUGUACAUCUCCACAAAUAUUUUACAAGACACAAUACUUGCAACUUAACAACUAUUUCAUAUGCAUAAUAGAUUAGUAAACUACCUGACUUUCUGGUGAUUUUGAUCUAGUUCGAGAGAAAAGAAAAUACUUCACUAGACCCUCAGUAAUAACAUACAUAAAUAGAGUAAAACUUUUUAAAAAAAAGGACUCCACACCAAGGUUACUAGCGAAGUAUUCAAGCUGGAUGAAAUGUUGAAAAGCACUAUCAAUCCAAGACCUGGACACCCACAUUCUUAUAAAUCAAAUCUAGUCACUCAAGACAAAUGCAUAUUCUUUACAUUUUUGAACGAACUUAUCGAUUUUAAAAAGAAAUUCAAAACAGCCCCUUGUGUUCUACGUCACCUGGAUACUGAAUUAAAGCCAUAAUAACGUAUGUAGCAUACUUACACAUAAAGAAGAACUGCUCACAAUAAUCGCAUGAAAUGAAACAGGAUAAUUUUAUGCAUCCCUCUUAAAAUUAAAUUCAUGACAGUAACCAAUAGCACAAAAGUUUACUAAAAGUGGAACAGAGUGAGAAGACACACUUCUCGUGUAUUUCACAAAUUUAUAUUUUGUAAUGAAUAGCGAAUCAGCCAUACGUAUUGAAUCAAUACAGGUCUCAAACGAAAUCGUAUCCACGAAACUUGAUAAAAAAAACCACGACAACCAAUUUGAAACAAAAAUGGAUCACACAUUCACUUACUAAUAUACAUGAUCAACCAUGAGACAAGUUCAGAAAAUUAUUUUAUUUUUUUUAUCCGCGAAGGCAACAGAAAAUAACAACAACCACAAAUAAAACAAGAUCACAUACUCCAAAACCAAUGGGAUAACAGUAGAACAAAGAGAUAAAACAAUCAAAGUUUAAAAGGGAUAUGCUCGCACCUUUUUUGGGGCAGCAAACGUGAGGCUUCCGUCAAAUAUUUUGUGAAGAACUUGGACUCCGGGAACUCAAAUUUUGGUUGAAAACCGAAUAAAAACUUACAAUACCUACUACUUGCUUUGAAGAUUUUUCUUUUGAUGAUUCACAAGUCUUUCAACUUGCAAUUUUCUAAACCCGAUGCUUGGGUCAAAAAGUGAGUUCCAUUUUGGAACUCCAACUCCCUGGUUUACAUGAAAAAGAAAGAGAGAUAAAGAUUAGAAACAGAACUCGAGUAAAGUAAUAUGGACAACAAAAUACAACUUGCGAUCGAAUGAGUUGGAAAACACAUAAGGAAACUAAGUACUACUAGAUGAAGUUCUAAUGGAACGAAAUAAUGCAAUAUGGAUCACGAAUAUUACAGAGGAUAACCCCACAUCAAAAGUGCAGAAGAUUCAAGUACUCAAUACAAUCUCAAACUAGAACAAUUCAAAGCCAAACACAUUCUGUUAGUGAGUAAUUGAAACAUCAAUACAAAUAAAAAUGAUUAAGUUGAUGGUCUACCAUAUUAUCAUGCAAUAUGAUUUAAUUAGGUUACCCUUAAGUAGAAAAAAAUCAUGUACAUCUCCACAAAUAUUUUACAAGACACAAUACUUGCAACUUAACAACUAUUUCAUAUGCAUAAUAGAUUAGUAAACUACCUGACUUUCUGGUGAUUUUGAUCUAGUUCGAGAGAAAAGAAAAUACUUCACUAGACCCUCAGUAAUAACAUACAUAAAUAGAGUAAAACUUUUUAAAAAAAAGGACUCCACACCAAGGUUACUAGCGAAGUAUUCAAGCUGGAUGAAAUGUUGAAAAGCACUAUCAAUCCAAGACCUGGACACCCACAUUCUUAUAAAUCAAAUCUAGUCACUCAAGACAAAUGCAUAUUCUUUACAUUUUUGAACGAACUUAUCGAUUUUAAAAAGAAAUUCAAAACAGCCCCUUGUGUUCUACGUCACCUGGAUACUGAAUUAAAGCCAUAAUAACGUAUGUAGCAUACUUACACAUAAAGAAGAACUGCUCACAAUAAUCGCAUGAAAUGAAACAGGAUAAUUUUAUGCAUCCCUCUUAAAAUUAAAUUCAUGACAGUAACCAAUAGCACAAAAGUUUACUAAAAGUGGAACAGAGUGAGAAGACACACUUCUCGUGUAUUUCACAAAUUUAUAUUUUGUAAUGAAUAGCGAAUCAGCCAUACGUAUUGAAUCAAUACAGGUCUCAAACGAAAUCGUAUCCACGAAACUUGAUAAAAAAAACCACGACAACCAAUUUGAAACAAAAAUGGAUCACACAUUCACUUACUAAUAUACAUGAUCAACCAUGAGACAAGUUCAGAAAAUUAUUUUAUUUUUUUUAUCCGCGAAGGCAACAGAAAAUAACAACAACCACAAAUAAAACAAGAUCACAUACUCCAAAACCAAUGGGAUAACAGUAGAACAAAGAGAUAAAACAAUCAAAGUUUAAAAGGGAUAUGCUCGCACCUUUUUUGGGGCAGCAAACGUGAGGCUUCCGUCAAAUAUUUUGUGAAGAACUUGGACUCCGGGAACUCAAAUUUUGGUUGAAAACCGAAUAAAAACUUACAAUACCUACUACUUGCUUUGAAGAUUUUUCUUUUGAUGAUUCACAAGUCUUUCAACUUGCAAUUUUCUAAAUUUCCCAAUUUUAAAAGAACAAAUUCUCAACUCUUACCCUUUUUUUUCCUCACAGAUCUUCUACUCUUCCAAUUUUCUUGCAUUUUUUGCUUCUGCCCCACAUAGUAACGAAAGACCCAUAUUUACAGGUUAAUCCGAACUUGGAAGUCCGAAUUCGGAAUUCGAUUUAAAUAAAAUGUGAUGAAAAAACUUGGUUUGAAAUUGAUUCGAAAUUCUGAAACAAAUCUCUUGUUUUUCCUGGCUAUUAAUGGCGAUUUUGACUCUUUUUUUCGUUGUUGUACGGAUUAGGGGACUAUUUUUCUGUUCUUGAAGGAUUCGUAGGCUGGAGGGUCUAUUUUGGUGGGAUUAUCGUGCAGGUGAGGUGCUAAGCUACCUGCGGCUAUGGCUGUUAGCCAUUUCUGUUUGGGGGAAAGAGAGAAAGAACGAAGAGGAAGGAGGAGAAGGGGGCAGCCAUUAUUGUAAGUUUUAGGAAAGAUGGGAUUGAGACUGCAUACUGAUUUUUUGGGAUAUGAGAUGUGCGUGAGUCAUACUUUUUUUUCAGAAGGAAAGAGGCAAGUGAAAAAGCA